UCCUUAAGCUCCUCCAAACCCUUCCUCAGCUCCAUUCCCUUCCCAAACCCUUCCCCAGCUCCUUCAGGAUUUCUCCAGAUCCUCCCCCAGGGUGGGAAUUGCACAGAGUGUUGAUUUUGGGGUGUCUGUGCAGGGCCAGGGGUUGCAUUUGAUCCCUGUGGGUCCCUUCCAGCUCAGGAUAUUCUAUAAUUCUAUAAUUCACAACUUCAGGCAUCUUUUCCCUACAAGCCAAAAGCUUUAACUGGAAAAAAAAAAAUCCACCUUUUAAUCUCUGACAUGCACAAAGCCCUAAAAAUUGCUGAGCUCAGGGGCUGGGGGCAGGGUGACAGAAAUUUUCCUGACAACAAACAGAGAACACACUUUGUGUCUGAUCUUGCAAAGAACCAGUUCUGCUCCUGGUUUAUCUCUCCUGGAAAUGCCUGGGGAUUUUGGGGUCUUGAAUGAAAUAUUUCCAGCAAGGAACAGCAGAGGAAAAAGGAACCAAAAGCACCACAGGUACUUCCACCUCCUACAGGAAAUUUUAUCAAGCACCUUCAGUGUCUCUUGUGCUGGCAAAAAACAAAAUUAUCCCAAAGAGCUUGUCCAGAUCAAAUCAUCAUGUUCUUCCCAGGCACAGAAACAACACCAGAAAGGGGCAAAAAAAUGCAAAAGCACCUUAAAAACACAUUGAAAUCCUAAAAGCAGAAAGGGGUGAUAGGUGGAAAAGAUUCUGUAACUCAUGAGAAAUGAGUUAUAAAGUAGCUAUGCAUUUAUUUAGUGCUGAGGUGCAUGGGGACAGCUUUUUUUAUAGCAUGCACAUUGAAAUUUUAGAUUUUUGCCUUAUUUAUUUUUUUAGAAUUGAGGCAUUCCUCAAUUCCCUGUGUCACAGGUUUCAUCCAGAAGUGGCACAGCUGAAGUGAAUUUGUGCUGAAUGUGACAAGGAUGGAAACAACACCAGAAAGGGG